GUCGAACGAACUCUGGUAUUGAUUGGUGCUUGCAUCAUGAUUUACAUUUGAGUGAGUGGCGAACUGGUGAGUAACACGUGGGAAACCUGCCCAGAAGCGGGGGAUAACACCUGGAAACAGAUGCUAAUACCGCAUAACAACUUGGACCGCAUGGUCCGAGUUUGAAAGAUGGCUUCGGCUAUCACUUUUGGAUGGUCCCGCGGCGUAUUAGCUAGAUGGUGGGGUAACGGCUCACCAUGGCAAUGAUACGUAGCCGACCUGAGAGGGUAAUCGGCCACAUUGGGACUGAGACACGGCCCAAACUCCUACGGGAGGCAGCAGUAGGGAAUCUUCCACAAUGGACGAAAGUCUGAUGGAGCAACGCCGCGUGAGUGAAGAAGGGUUUCGGCUCGUAAAACUCUGUUGUUAAAGAAGAACAUAUCUGAGAGUAACUGUUCAGGUAUUGACGGUAUUUAACCAGAAAGCCACGGCUAACUACGUGCCAGCAGCCGCGGUAAUACGUAGGUGGCAAGCGUUGUCCGGAUUUAUUGGGCGUAAAGCGAGCGCAGGCGGUUUUUUAAGUCUGAUGUGAAAGCCUUCGGCUCAACCGAAGAAGUGCAUCGGAAACUGGGAAACUUGAGUGCAGAAGAGGACAGUGGAACUCCAUGUGUAGCGGUGAAAUGCGUAGAUAUAUGGAAGAACACCAGUGGCGAAGGCGGCUGUCUGGUCUGUAACUGACGCUGAGGCUCGAAAGUAUGGGUAGCAAACAGGAUUAGAUACCCUGGUAGUCCAUACCGUAAACGAUGAAUGCUAAGUGUUGGAGGGUUUCCGCCCUUCAGUGCUGCAGCUAACGCAUUAAGCAUUCCGCCUGGGGAGUACGGCCGCAAGGCUGAAACUCAAAGGAAUUGACGGGGGCCCGCACAAGCGGUGGAGCAUGUGGUUUAAUUCGAAGCUACGCGAAGAACCUUACCAGGUCUUGACAUACUAUGCAAAUCUAAGAGAUUAGACGUUCCCUUCGGGGACAUGGAUACAGGUGGUGCAUGGUUGUCGUCAGUUCGUGUCGUGAGAUGUUGGGUUAAGUCCCGCAACGAGCGCAACCCUUAUUAUCAGUUGCCAGCAUUAAGUUGGGCACUCUGGUGAGACUGCCGGUGACAAACCGGAGGAAGGUGGGGAUGACGUCAAAUCAUCAUGCCCCUUAUGACCUGGGCUACACACGUGCUACAAUGGAUGGUACAACGAGUUGCGAACUCGCGAGAGUAAGCUAAUCUCUUAAAGCCAUUCUCAGUUCGGAUUGUAGGCUGCAACUCGCCUACAUGAAGUCGGAAUCGCUAGUAAUCGCGGAUCAGCAUGCCGCGGUGAAUACGUUCCCGGGCCUUGUACACACCGCCCGUCACACCAUGAGAGUUUGUAACACCCAAAGUCGGUGGGGUAA
rnacentral:rRNA from 2 species